GAGGAACAUUGGUCAAUGGACGAGAGUCUGAACCAGCCAAGUAGCGUGCAGGAUGACGGCCCUAUGGGUUGUAAACUGCUUUUGUAUGGGGAUAAAGUCAAUCACGUGUGAUUGUUUGCAGGUACCAUACGAAUAAGGACCGGCUAAUUCCGUGCCAGCAGCCGCGGUAAUACGGAAGGUCCGGGCGUUAUCCGGAUUUAUUGGGUUUAAAGGGAGCGUAGGCCGGAGAUUAAGUGUGUUGUGAAAUGUAGACGCUCAACGUCUGACUUGCAGCGCAUACUGGUUUCCUUGAGUACGCACAACGUUGGCGGAAUUCGUCGUGUAGCGGUGAAAUGCUUAGAUAUGACGAAGAACUCCGAUUGCGAAGGCAGCUGACGGGAGCGCAACUGACGCUUAAGCUCGAAGGUGCGGGUAUCGAACAGGAUUAGAUACCCUGGUAGUCCGCACAGUAAACGAUGGAUGCCCGCUGUUGGUACCUGGUAUCAGCGGCUAAGCGAAAGCAUUAAGCAUCCCACCUGGGGAGUACGCCGGCAACGGUG
rnacentral:rRNA from 1 species